rnacentral:lncRNA from 1 species
GGCCUAUAUUUUAUAGGGUAUAUCCACCUAGGUUGACCGUUUCAUUUUCUAUUAGAGUUUUCUUUUAAUUUAUCACCCAUUAAAAACACACAAAUACCAAAAUGAACUGAUUCCGUUCAAUUUCACUAAGGGUAAAAAAGGAGCGGCCCCAAUCACGAUGGCAAAAUUGUCAUUUUUUAGCAAUUUUUAUUUCUUUAAAUAAUCAAAUCUUCUAUAAAGAGUACAUGCAAGGGGGGGCAACCCUAUCAUUUGAGUGAAGUGUCAGGACUUUUGGGGGUAAGUUCUUUGGCUUGGAC